AAACAAGAAGCAAAUUUUGCACUCAGUUUCGACCUGAGCUUUGAUGAAAUAUCAUCCUUGUUUA
rnacentral:tRNA from 1 species